rfam:Populus trichocarpa scaffold_17_contig_306, whole genome shotgun sequence.
UGGUGUGAUCAUACGAGCACUAAUGCACCAUAUCCCAUCAGAACUCUGAAGUUAAACGUGCUUGGGUGAGAGUAGUACUCGGGUGGGUGACCUCUUGGGAAAUCCUCUUGUUGCACUCC